AUGGGAAAGAAACCUGGAAAGUACCCUUGGCUGUGUACAUUUGAGUAAAGAGAGCACUAUAAAAUCAAAAACCAAUGAAAUGGUUUCCAGAACACAGAACUAUUAAGCUUAAGAAAAGGACAGAAGGAACUGAAGAGAGAGGAACUGUUUUGGAGCAUCACACUUCCACCUCAGAAGAAAUAAGGAAGGAAGGAGGAGGGUGUUCCCACGGCUCUUCAACCAGGCCGGCUCUUCAGCCUACAUCCCCAUCUCAUCAAGUAAAAGGGAUUUUUCAACUGGACCAACCAGAUGGUUUAACAGUGCACUCCCACACCAUUCAACUACGCAAGGGAGAUACACUUAACAUAUGCAGUCGUAUAACACCUACUAACAUUUUCAAACAUUAAACCUUUAAAAAAGAGUUCUAAAGAAAUAGAAGCUUGAAGUAUCAUCUCUCAAGUAUAUAGACACUACUUCAUGGUGUGGUAAUAUAUGCAUAUAGAAGCUAGUAAACACCUCCAGGAGAUGCAAAAGGAAUUAGAACUGCCACAAGGUGCAAGCAAAACCUUGAGGUGAGAAAAUCGAAUUUGGACACCGUUGAGGAGACUAUUGCAGUCAUCCAAGCUCAAGAUGGUGGAGCUUCAUCCUUGAGAAUAACCAAUGGGGAUAGAUUUAAGAGACACUUAGAGUCUGCAGCCAACAGGGCUGAAUGAGCAUUCUGUUUUUCCUCUUCUAAUCCUUCACCCAUCUGAGCUAAAGUCUAGACCUAAGGAGGCUACUAAUUCAGGGAUCGAGUAAUCUGCCAAGCAAGAGUUUAUUCAAGCACAGUUUGAAAUAAAGGUUUCAAAUGCAUAGCCUGUCGAUACUUUGGAAGGAUUCUCAUCAUAACGAGAUAUGGGAGGACACCUGAGACGGCAGGCCAGAAGUCACUCAGUAGGAGAAACAUCCGUUAGAAGUAAUAAUGUGGGAUUGCUGAAGUAAAGACUAUAGGAAGAAAAAAGUGUCUGUGUGUAGGAAACGGAAAGGGAGAGAAAAAUACACUGAGAUGGUAAAGUAAGGAAGUGGAAGAUCAGCAGAAUGUGCAGAUGCCAAGCCAUCCAAGAAAAUCAUCUCUUGUGAUUGUUGCGAAGUCAACUAGCUAAUGUGACUCACUGCUAGGCUGUUGGAUCUGAGACUUAUGUGGGAUAAUUUAGAAACUUGCUAGUGUCUUAAGAUCAAUUACUCACCAAUGAGAGUGGCAUUGAACUGUGAAUGUUCCUCCUAGAUUUUCCAUGAAGACUAAUGGUUUUGUCUUGUCUUGAAUUUGUUUUAAUUACAAUUUGUAUACAUCCUGUUCCACCCUGAAAUUUUUAUUUUCCAAAUGGUUUUUCAUUUAAAGAGACUAAAUAAAGGUUCUGACUGAGUUGUA
rnacentral:lncRNA from 1 species